UUUCGAAUGGAAUGAAGACUGUUAAUUAGUUGACCUUGUAAUAGGGAGACUAUCUUGAAUUAUACAAGUAGCCCCAGUCUGAUCACAUGUUCUCUUGGCAGGGAGUGAAUGAGAAAAUGAGACAGAAGUAGAGAAAGGAUCAGCUUGAAGUAUAAGAGGGACAUAACCAGCCAUUGCUCGCUUUAAAGAUGACAGAAGAGAGUUGUAGCCAAGGAGUUCAAAUGCCCUUUAAAAGCUGAGAACAGUUCUUAGUGUACAGACAGCUAGAAAACUGGGACCUAGGUUCUAUUCUCAAAACAUGCUGAAUCUGCCAACAGCUUGAAUAAGCAAGAAAUGGAUUCUCCCCUAGAGCCUCCAGUAGGUGGUAGUCCUUUCAUCUGGUUUAAUUUUGGGGGACAGAAAAUCAGCUAAUACAUUAAUUUGUCGAACCCCUUUCUUUGGACAAUCCAUCUGUAGGUUUUAUGCUUUAAAAUUAAAUGACAUUUAGUUGCAAAAGAAUAAACUAACUCUUCUCCAAAUUCAUGCAGUAAUAAGAAAUGUCUUCUCUUCAUCAUUUUUACCAGUAUUCUCUGCAAUAGAAAUACCAUGUUCCCUGGAAAGAAUGAUUCCAAAUGGCAAAAAUGAUAAAGGCUAAAUAAGAAUUAUGCCUUUUGGAGAAGUUCCAGUGAGAAGUGUUUCAAUUAUCUAUUGCUGCAUAUAAAACUUCUUCAAAACUUAGCAGCUUAAAACAGUAACAAUUUGAUUAUUUUUCAGAAUUCUGUGGUUCAGGAAGUCAGAAGCAACACAGCAGGGAUUACUCAUCUCUGCUUCAUAUGAUACCUUCUGGGGCUGAAGGAGCCAAGAUGGUCUCUUCACUCAUGUAUCUGGCAACUCACCUCGGAUGGUUUGAACAGAUGGGGCUGACUGAAACAACUCAACUAGUGUUGCAUGUCUGGGGUCUAGGAUCUUGCUGUUGGCUAGGCUCUUCAAUUAUCAUCCAGGCUGAUGCAAUCCCAUGGGGGAACCUGUCUGGUAUCCAGAGGAAAAUAGCAUGGAAUGAGAGUCUUAGGAGAAGUAAGAGACACUUUUUCCCUUGACACUUUUUAAAAGGCUCAUCUUUCUUUUGCUUCUCACUGUCAAAAUCACAAGACUUCAAGAUCUAAGUUACUAGGGCCCACACUAAAGGAAAGGAACCAAGGAGUCUACUUAAUCUAAUUCGAAUCUAAUAGGUAAAAGGAAUUUUCCUGUUGAUACAGGGCCUGUUGAUACAGGUCAAGAAUCCCAGAAAGGAGUUGGGAAUCCUGUCGUAUUAGUAAUAACCACCACUGGAAUUAUAAUAGACAACAGAUACAGAAUUUGAAGAGUCAGGGUCCCAGCCGUCUUUCUACCUCCUUCCAGGAAGCACAAACAAAUAUGGCAUUAAGCCCUGCCAGUAUUGCAAUUUUCAUUCUAACCUGAAAAAAACACUUAGGUCUGUUUAGAGGGCUUUUAAUUCAAACCCCACUGCCACCCCACAACCAAAAAAAAACCCUUCACAAACUAACAAAGUGGAA
rnacentral:lncRNA from 13 species